rnacentral:lncRNA from 1 species
GAGCAGGAAUAUGAUUGUAAGGUUUUUAUUCUUCUGUCUUAUUCAGGAUAUGGUACAACACCUAAGAUUACGCCUUUCAUGUCUAGGACAGCUUUGAGAAAAAGGAAUUCCUCACAGCAGGGAUUCUUUACAAAGUAUCAGUACCGAUGAGGUGACUCAGGGAAACCUUCCUAGGGUAAGCUAAAAGACCUUAACCUUUUUUGUAUCAGGGACUCCCUUGGCAAUC